GGCGGCAUGCUUAACACAUGCAAGUCGCACGGGCAGGGGAAACUCUGUCAGUGGCGGACGGGUGAGUAACGCGUAGGUAUCUGUCCAUGGGUGGGGGAUAACGGCGGGAAACUGCUGCUAAUACCGCAUGACACCUGAGGGUCAAAGGCGCAAGCCGCCUGUGGAGGAGCCUGCGUCCGAUUAGCUAGUUGGUGGGGUAACGGCCUACCAAGGCGACGAUCGGUAGCUGGUCUGAGAGGAUGAUCAGCCACACUGGGACUGAGACACGGCCCAGACUCCUACGGGAGGCAGCAGUGGGGAAUAUUGGACAAUGGGCGCAAGCCUGAUCCAGCAAUGCCGCGUGGGUGAAGAAGGUCUUCGGAUUGUAAAGCCCUUUCGGCGGGGACGAUGAUGACGGUACCCGCAGAAGAAGCCCCGGCUAACUUCGUGCCAGCAGCCGCGGUAAUACGAAGGGGGCUAGCGUUGCUCGGAAUGACUGGGCGUAAAGGGCGCGUA
rnacentral:rRNA from 1 species